UACAGGGGGUGCAAACGUUGCUCGGAAUCAUUGGGCGUAAAGCGCACGUAGGCGGUUCGUUAUGUCGGAUGUGAAAGCCCUUGGCUUAACCGAGGAAGUGCAUCCGAAACUGGCGAGCUAGAGUACGAAAGAGGAUCGCGGAAUUCCCGGUGUAGAGGUGAAAUUCGUAGAUAUCGGGAGGAACACCGGUGGCGAAGGCGGCGAUCUGGGUCGAUACUGACGCUGAGGUGCGAAAGCGUGGGAGCAAACAGG
rnacentral:rRNA from 1 species